rnacentral:rRNA from 1 species
UACGUAGGGGGCAAGCGUUGUCCGGAUUCAUUGGGCGUAAAGAGCGUGUAGGCGGCCAGGUAGGUCCGUUGUGAAAACUCGAGCUCAACUUCGAGACGCCGAUGGAAACCAUGUGGCUAGAGUACGGAAGAGGCGAGUGGAAUUCCUGGUGUAGCGGUGGAAUGCGCAGAUAUCAGGAGGAACACCAAUAGCGAAGGCAGCUCGCUGGGACGUUACUGACACUAAGGCGCGAAAGCGUGGGGAGCGAACAGG